AUACGGAGGGGGUUAGCGUUGUUCGGAAUUACUGGGCGUAAAGCGCACGUAGGCGGAUUGGAAAGUUGGGGGUGAAAUCCCGGGGCUCAACCCUGGAACUGCCUCCAAAACUAACAGUCUAGAGUUCGAGAGAGGUGAGUGGAAUUCCAAGUGUAGAGGUGAAAUUCGUAGAUAUUUGGAGGAACACCAGUGGCGAAGGCGGCUCACUGGCUCGAUACUGACGCUGAGGUGCGAAAGCGUGGGGAGCAAACAGGAUUAGAAACCCUAGUAGUCC
rnacentral:rRNA from 1 species